rnacentral:rRNA from 1 species
UACGUAGGGAGCUAGCGUUGUCCGGAAUCAUUGGGCGUAAAGCGCGCGUAGGCGGCCCGGUAAGUCCGCUGUGAAAGUCAAAGGCUCAACCUUUGAAUGUCAGCGGAUACUGCCGGGCUAGAGUCCGGAAGAGGCGAGUGGAACUCCUGGUGUAGCGGUGGAAUGCGCAGAUAUCAGGAAGAACACCCGUGGCGAAGGCGGCUCGCUGGGACGUUACUGACGCUGAGACGCGAAAGCGUGGGGAGCGAACAGG